CCUACGGGGGGCAGCAGUGAGGAAUAUUGGUCAAUGGACGUAAGCCUGAACCAGCCAAGUCGCGUGAGGGAUGACGGCUCUAUGGAUUGUAAACCUCUUUUAUAAGGGAGUAAAGUGUGAGACGUGUCCUGUUUUGUAUGUACCUUAUGAAUAAGGAUCGGCUAACUCCGUGCCAGCAGCCGCGGUAAUACGGAGGAUUCAAGCGUUAUCCGGAUUUAUUGGGUUUAAAGGGUGCGUAGGCGGCCUGUUAAGUCAGCGGUGAAAGUCCGGGGCUCAACCCUGGAAUUGCCUUUGAAACUGUGAGGCUUGAGUAUGUUUGAGGCAGGCGGAAUGUGUGGUGUAGCGGUGAAAUGCUUAGAGAUCAUACAGAACACCGAUUGCGAAGGCAGCUUGCCAAGCCAUGACUGACGCUGAGGCACGAAAGUGUGGGUAUCAAACAGGAUUAGAUACCCGAGUAGUC
rnacentral:rRNA from 1 species